UGAGCAAUCUGCCUAGAUGUGGGGGAUAGCCGGCCCAACGGCCGGGUAAUACCGCAUACGCUCUCCUGGUGGCAUCACCGGGUGAGGAAACUUUCGAGGCGUCUAGAGGAGCUCGCGGCCUAUCAGUUAGUUGGUGAGGUAAUGGCUCACCAAGGCUUUGACGGGUANCUGGUCUGAGAGGAUGGCCAGCCACAGUUGGGACUGAGACUACCGGCCCAGACCUCGUACGGGGA
rnacentral:rRNA from 1 species